GUGAUCGUACCACCGGUUAGGUCAAAAGCAGACUGUCGAGUGAUUGCUGUGUUAAAAAAUUCUCAUUCUCAUUCUCUCCGAUUAAUGGCUGCUUCAAAUUCUUCUAAAUUGUUUCGUGUUGGUCGUUCAAUCCUGGGUGGUCUGAGCAACAAUGCUCUUGGGGCGAGCAGACUGUCUUCAAAAUUGGCAGAUAUGGAUUUCUUUUCUCAACAAACAAGAACAUUCAUACAGAUGAGGACAAACCUUAAAGUGGUGGACAAUUCUGGGGCAAAAAGAGUGAUGUGCAUACAAGCAUUGAAGGGAAAGAAAGGAGCUAGAUUGGGGGACGUAAUAGUAGCAUCGGUCAAGGAAGCACACGUUGGUGGGAAAGUGAAGAAAGGAGAUGUUCACUAUGCUGUUGUAGUUCGUGCUGCAAUGCCACGGGGCCGUUGUGAUGGGAGUGAAGUCAAGUUUGACGACAAUGCUGUUGUACUCAUCAACAAGCAAGGCGAGCCAAUCGGCACCAGAGUGUUUGGUCCUGUUCCUCAUGAGUUGAGGAAAAAGAAACAUCUCAAGAUUCUCAGUCUUGCUGAGCAAAUUGCCUAGAGUGUUAUCACAGGCCUGCUUAUGUCUGUCAUUUUAUUCUCCCUUUUAAUGAGGUUGUGCUUCGGUGUAUCAGACCUCUCCCAGAAUUUCAACUGUAGAGCUCUCCCCUCCAGCAUCUUCUCGACUUCCUCAAUGGGAAGGCCCUUCGUUUCAGGCACGCAAACCAGCACAAAGACCAGAGCUACAACUGAA